AUUGAACGCUGGCGGCAUGCUUUACACAUGCAAGUCGGACGGCAGCGGGGUAGUGCUUGCACUACUGCCGGCGAGUGGCGAACGGGUGAGUAAUAUAUUGGAACGUACCGAGUAAUGGGGGAUAACCAAUCGAAAGAUUGGCUAAUACCGCAUACGCUCUGAGGAGGAAAGCAGGGGACCUUCGGGCCUUGCGUUAUUCGAGCGGCCAAUAUCUGAUUAGCUAGUUGGUGGGGUAAGGGCCUACCAAGGCGACGAUCAGUAGCGGGUCUGAGAGGAUGAUCCGCCACACUGGGACUGAGACACGGCCCAGACUCCUACGGGAGGCAGCAGUGGGGAAUUUUGGACAAUGGGCGCAAGCCUGAUCCAGCCAUGCCGCGUGUCUGAAGAAGGCCUUCGGGUUGUAAAGGACUUUUGUUAGGGAAGAAAAAGGAGCGGAUAAUACCCGUUUCUGCUGACGGUACCUAAAGAAUAAGCACCGGCUAACUACGUG
rnacentral:rRNA from 1 species